UCAACAACAUCAACCGGCGCCUGCCAGUCCAGAAGUCUAUCUGUGACAUCGACAGCGCCGAGGAGGCGCUUGUUGGACCUGAAGAGAUAUCCAUCGUGUAAUCGCGAGAUUCUUGAUCGUGACAUACCUGUGCGCGUGGGUUGAAAAAAAAGAAAGACCAGACAAGCAACCGGGUAUACACUUCGAGAAAUGUGCGUUUCUUAUUUUCUUUCGAUCUGUGACUGAAGUCUUAAGCACAUCUUUAAUCUCGUCUAUGUGUAUAUAGCGUUUAGUUCUUCCAUAUUUUUUUCUUAUGUAUAUGUAUAGAUUUGUUAAGAGCUACGGCAAAAAAAA